rnacentral:rRNA from 1 species
CCUACGGGAGGCAGCAGUGAGGAAUAUUGGUCAAUGGACGGAAGUCUGAACCAGCCAUGCCGCGUGCAGGAAGACGGCUCUAUGAGUUGUAAACUGCUUUUGUACAAGGGUAAACCUGAAUACGUGUAUUCAGCUGAAAGUCCUGUACGAAUAAGGAUCGGCUAACUCCGUGCCAGCAGCCGCGGUAAUAAGGAGGAUCCAAGCGUUAUCCGGAUUUUUUGGGUUUAACGGGAGCGUAGGCGGAUUGAUAAGGUAGGGGUGAAAUGUCCGAGCUUAACUCGGGAACUGCUUGUAAAACUGUUGUUCUAGAGAGUAGAUGCGGUAGGCGGAAUGUAUGGUGUAGCGGUGAAAUGCUUAGAGAU